UACAGAGGGGGCAAGCGUUAUUCGGAAUUAUUGGGCGUAAAGGGCGCGUAGGCGGCUUGGCAAGUGGAAGGUGAAAUCCCUCGGCUUAACCGAGGAACUGCCCUCCAAACUGCUUGGCUUGAGACCGGGAGAGGUGAGUGGAAUUCCCAGUGUAGCGGUGAAAUGCGUAGAUAUUGGGAGGAACACCAGUGGCGAAGGCGGCUCACUGGACCGGUACUGACGCUGAUGCGCGAAAGCCAGGGGAGCAAAGCGGG
rnacentral:rRNA from 1 species